rnacentral:rRNA from 1 species
GGCGAACGGGUGCGUAACACGUGGAUAACCUUCCUUGAGGUGGGGAAUAACCCCGCGAAAGCGGGGCUAAUACCGCAUAACAAAGCGAUGGCACAUGCUGUUGCUUUCAAAGGAGCAAUUCGCCACAAGAGGGAUCCGCGGCCGAUUAGCUAGUUGGCGAGGUAACGGCUCACCAAGGCAAUGAUCGGUAGCCGGUCUGAGAGGAUGAUCGGCCACACUGGAACUGAGACACGGUCCAGACUCCUACGGGAGGCAGCAGUGGGGAAUCUUGCACAAUGGGCGAAGGCCUGAUGCAGCAACGCCGCGUGGGGGAUGAAGCUUCUCGGAGUGUAAACCCCUUUCGACCCGGACGAAUGCCCGCAAGGGCUUGACGGUACGGGUAUAAGAAGCCCCGGCUAACUACGUGCCAGCCGCCGCGG